AAUAAAAUGCCUGAUUAAAGGGAUAUCGUGAUAGGAUAUAUAAUGUAAUAUCAAUUACUUUUAUUA
rnacentral:tRNA from 1 species